rnacentral:lncRNA from 1 species
AGAGUUUCAAAUUUUUCAGAAAUUGUUCAUCAAUUUUUCUGAAUUUUGUGAACCAUGAGUCGACCCCCUAGGGUCGACCCAAUGGCAAACUUGCAGUUUUGGCCAAAAUCCCACGGGCUCUUCUUAUUUUGUUGAAAUUCCACUCCUUUGAGCCGACUCAUUUCACCAUCUUCUUCCUCCCUCCAAAACCUUAGGUCCUCUUCUUCUUCCUCUCCAAAUCCAAGGCCUACCCCCUAGAUCCUUCUCCCAUCACCCCUUACACCUCAAAUCGC